UUAUCACAUUCUAUUUACUUUCGUAAGAAUAUAUUUUUAUAAUUCAAUAAUAUGAUACUGUGAAAAAAUUUGCCAAAUAUUUUUCUUGAUAUCACGUGAUCAUCUGAACAGAUGACACUGAAAGUCUUCCUGUUUCCUCGCUUGAAAUGAACGCGUGUAAGUAUACAAAUGUUUCACCAAUCGCAUUCUCUCCUACCGGGUGUUUCACAACGAACUAUAUACGAAAGAAGUAUGUAAUGAGACGCGAACCGUUAACCGAACGAAGGAAAACGAGCUGUUGACUGGCCUACCAUUGCGACACAAUAGCCAUCCAAGCAAUUACGAUAUACAUGGCCUAUGUAAACGGUUCGAAAGCGGUUCGAUUUUAAUUGACUGAAAGAAUAAACGAACAUCAUUGUCGGAA